UGUCCCUGAGGCUGUGGGCGUGUCCCUGAGGCUGUGGGCGUGGCUCUGGGACUGUGGGCGUGGCCUGACCCCUCCCCCAGGCCGCGGGAGCCGAGCUGGGAGGACCCCGGGGCCCCCCUGAAACGGGCGGAGCUGGAGACCCCCGGAACGAACCACGGGCGGCUGGGGCGGCUGCUGAGCGGGGACCCCCCAGGACUGAGCCCCCCCCUGGGGCCGGAGAGACCCCGCGGGCUCCUGGCUGAUGGUUUGACCCUUCCAGGGACCCCCCCGAAUUUGGGGAGGGGGCUCCCCCAGACCCCAAACCUGGAGAGCAACUGAGGAGGGGGGGGGGAGCCCCCCCCAAACACCCCCAAAUUCGGGGAGACCCCCCCGCCAAAAUUUCCCGUUUUUGGGGAGGGGCUGCAUCAAAAGCCAUGACCUGAAAC